rnacentral:rRNA from 1 species
GACGAACGCUGGCGGCGUGCUUAACACAUGCAAGUCGAACGGAAAGGCCCUGCUUUUGUGGGGUGCUCGAGUGGCGAACGGGUGAGUAACACGUGAGUAACCUGCCCUUGACUUUGGGAUAACUUCAGGAAACUGGGGCUAAUACCGGAUAGGAGCUCCUGCUGCAUGGUGGGGGUUGGAAAGUUUCGGCGGUUGGGGAUGGACUCGCGACUUAUCAGCUUGUUGGUGGGGUAGUGGCUUACCAAGGCUUUGACGGGUAGCCGGCCUGAGAGGGUGACCGGACACAUUGGGACUGAGAUACGGCCCAGACUCGUACGGGAGGCAGCAGUGGGGAAUAUUGCACAAUGGGCGGAAGCAUGAUGCAGCAACGCCGCGUGCGGGAUGACGGCCUUCGGGUUGUAAACCGCUUUCGCCUGUGACGAAGCGUGAGUGACGGUAAUGGGUAAAGAAGCACCGGCUAACUACGUG